rnacentral:misc_RNA from 1 species
AACGCACAUUGCGCCCGCCAGCAUUCUGGCGGGCAUGCCUGUCCGAGCGUCAUUUCAACCCUCAGGCCCGCCCCUCCCUCCGGGGGGGAUGGCGGCCUGGCGUUGGGGAUCGGCCCCGCCCCGCCGGCGGCCGGCCCCGAAAUCCAGUGGCGGUCACGCCGCGGCUUCCUCUGCGUAGUAGCACACACCUCGCACCGGGACGCGGCGCGGCCACGCCGUAAAGCGCGCGACGCCUGGCGCCGCCUUCUCAAGGUUGACCUCGGAUCAGGUAGGAAUACCCGCUGAACUUAA